rnacentral:rRNA from 1 species
AUUGCAUAUCAAUAAGCGGAGGAAAAGAAACCAACAGGGAUUGCCUUAGUAGCGGCGAGUGAAGCGGCAAAAGCUCAAAUUUGAAAUCUGGCUCUUUCAGAGUCCGAGUUGUAAUUUGAAGAAGGUAUCUUUGGGUCUGGCUCUUGUCUAUGUUUCUUGGAACAGAACGUCACAGAGGGUGAGAAUCCCGUGCGAUGAGAUGAUCCAGGCCUAUGUAAAGUUCCUUCGAAGAGUCGAGUUGUUUGGGAAUGCAGCUCUAAGUGGGUGGUAAAUUCCAUCUAAAGCUAAAUAUUGGCGAGAGACCGAUAGCGAACAAGUACAGUGAUGGAAAGAUGAAAAGAACUUUGAAAAGAGAGUGAAAAAGUACGUGAAAUUGUUGAAAGGGAAGGGCUUGAGAUCAGACUUGGUAUUUUGUAUGUUACUUCUUCGGGGGUGGCCUCUACAGUUUAUCGGGCCAGCAUCAGUUUGGGCGGUAGGAGAAUUGCGUUGGAAUGUGGCACGGCUUCGGUUGUGUGUUAUAGCCUUCGUCGAUACUGCCAGCCUAGACUGAGGACUGCGGUUUAUACCUAGGAUGUUGGCAUAAUGAUCUUAAGUCGCCCGUCUUGAAACACGGACCAAU